rnacentral:rRNA from 1 species
UGCGUAGGCGGCCUGGUAAGUCUGGCGUGAAAGCCCAGGGCUCAGCCCUGGAAGUGCGCUAGAAACUGCAAGGCUAGAGUGCCGGAGGGGAGAGUGGAAUUCCUGGUGUAGCGGUGAAAUGCGUAGAUAUCAGGAGGAAUACCGGUGGCGAAAGCGACUCUCUGGACGGCAACUGACGCUGAGGCAAAGACGUGGGGAGCAAACA